GCUUAACACAUGCAAGUCGAGGGGCAUCAUGAACAAAGCUUGCUUUCUUUGCUGGCGACCGGCGCACGGGUGAGUAACACGUAUCCAACCUGCCCUUUACUCGGGGAUAGCCUUUCGAAAGAAAGAUUAAUACCCGAUAGCAUAAUGAUUCCGCAUGGUUUCAUUAUUAAAGGAUUCCGGUAAAGGAUGGGGAUGCGUUCCAUUAGGUUGUUGGUGAGGUAACGGCUCACCAAGCCUUCGAUGGAUAGGGGUUCUGAGAGGAAGGUCCCCCACAUUGGAACUGAGACACGGUCCAAACUCCUACGGGAGGCAGCAGUGAGGAAUAUUGGUCAAUGGACGAUAGCCUGAACCAGCCAAGUAGCGUGAAGGAUGAAGGCUCUAUGGGUCGUAAACUUCUUUUAUAUAAGAAUAAAGUGCAGUAUGUAUACUGUUUUGUAUGUAUUAUAUGAAUAAGGAUCGGCUAACUCCGUGCCAGCAGCCGCGGUAAUACGGAGGAUCCGAGCGUUAUCCGGAUUUAUUGGGUUUAAAGGGAGCGUAGGUGGACUGGUAAGUCAGUUGUGAAAGUUUGCGGCUCAACCGUAAAAUUGCAGUUGAUACUGUCAGUCUUGAGUACAGUAGAGGUGGGCGGAAUUCGUGGUGUAGCGGUGAAAUGCUUAGAUAUCACGAAGAACUCCGAUUGCGAAGGCAGCUCACUGGACUGCAACUGACACUGAUGCUCGAAAGUGUGGGUAUCAAACAGGAUUAGAUACCCUGGUAGUCCACACAGUAAACGAUGAAUACUCGCUGUUUGCGAUAUACAGUAAGCGGCCAAGCGAAAGCAUUAAGUAUUCCACCUGGGGGAGUACGCCGGCACCGGUGAAACUCUAAGGAAUUGACGGGGGGCCGCACAAGCGGAGGAACAUGUGGUUUAAUUUGAUGAUAUGCGAGGAGCCUUAUCCGGGCUUAAAUUGCAGUGGAAUGAUGUGGAGACAUGUCUCUGAGCCAUCACAGCUGUGAAGGUGCUGCAUGGUUGUCGUCAGCUCGUGCCGUGAGGUGUCGGCUUAAGUGCCAUAACGAGCGCAACCCUUAUCUUUAGUUACUAUCAGGUCAUGCUGAGGACUCUAGAGAGACUGCCGUCGUAAGAUGUGAGGAAGGUGGGGAUGACGUCAAAUCAGCACGGCCCUUACGUCCGGGGCUACACACGUGUUACAAUGGGGGGUACAGAAGGCAGCUAGCGGGUGACGGUAUGCUAAUCCCAAAAGCCUCUCUCAGUUCGGAUUGAAGUCUGCAACCCGACUUCGUGAAGCUGGAUUCGCUAGUAAUCGCGCAUCAGCCACGGCGCGGUGAAUACGUUCCCGGGCCUUGUACACACCGCCCGUCAAGCCAUGGGAGCCGGGGGUACCUGAAGUACGUAACCGCAAGGAUCGUCCUAGGGUAAAACUGGUGACUGGGGCUAA
rnacentral:rRNA from 1 species